rnacentral:rRNA from 1 species
GUCGUAACAAGGUUUCCGUAGGUGAACCUGCGGAAGGAUCAUUAUCGAGUUUGGAAGUGGGUUGCCUGCGCUGGCAUUGCAGGUGCGCGGCGACUCCGCUCUCAUCCAUUCAACCCCUGUGCACUUUGAAGCGAGGUCUUGUUGAGUUUGGCGUCCGCCAGGCUUUAUAGGAUUUAGCUUUAUUACAAACACAURUAUUGUCCUGUAGAAUGUCUUGCCUCAUAGUGGGCUAAAAAUUUAAUACAACUUUCAACAACGGAUCUCUUGGCUCUCGCAUCGAUGAAGAACGCAGCGAAAUGCGAUAAGUAAUGUGAAUUGCAGAAUUCAGUGAAUCAUCGAAUCUUUGAACGCACCUUGCGCUCCUUGGUAUUCCGAGGAGCAUGCCUGUUUGAGUGUCAUGAUAUUCUCAAUCCUUCUGGGUUUUUGUUMACUCGGAAGGGUUGGAUGUGGAGGUCUGCUGGUCUKACGAUCGGCUCCUCUUGAAUGCAUUAGCUGGGCUUAUGCUCGAGGCAACAGUGUAAUAAUGUAUUGUCACUGGUGUCACUUGCAUGAUGGGUCCGCUUCUAAUCGUCUCUGUGCGAGACAAUAAUGAAUCAUUACUUUGGUUCUGACUUCUUUGACCUCAAAUCAGGUAGGACUA